rnacentral:rRNA from 1 species
GUCCACGCCGUAAACGAUGCACACUAGACGUCGGGGCCUCUGACGGAACCGGCGUCGAAGCAAAAGUGUUUAGUGUGCCGCCUGGGGAGUACGGCCGCAAGGCUAAAACUCAAAGGAAUUGACGGGGACUCACACAAGCGGUGGAGCAUGUGGCUUAAUUCGAAGCAACGCGAAGAACCUUACCCAGGUUUGACAUGCUUGGAUGCCUCUUGGGGAUAACUCAGGUAGGCUGCCCGCAAGGGUGAAACUUGCACAGGUGUUGCAUGGCUGUCGU